rnacentral:rRNA from 1 species
UACGGGGGGAGCAAGCGUUGUUCGGAUUUACUGGGCGUAAAGGGCGCGUAGGCGGCGCAACAAGUCACUUGUGAAAUCUCCGGGCUUAACCCGGAGCGGCCAAGUGAUACUGUCGUGCUAGAGUGCGGAAGGGGCUACUGGAAUUCUCGGUGUAGCGGUGAAAUGCGUAGAUAUCGAGAGGAACACCUGCGGCGAAGGCGGGUAGCUGGGCCGACACUGACGCUGAGGAGCGAAAGCGUGGGGAGCGAACGGG